ACGAGUUUUGAAGUGGGUUUGAUGCUGGCUUUAUUAAAGGCAUGUGCUCACCCUGCUCCAUCCACUCUACACCUGUGCACCUUUUGAGGCAUAGCCCUCCAAUUUUGGAGCCGUUCCCCACCGUGAUUAAUUUCGCAGGUGGGUUGAGCCGGGGCUUUGCUCUCUACCUUUUACACACCCCAUUACAAAGUUUUGUAGAAUGUUGAACCCAAUAAAUUAAUA
rnacentral:misc_RNA from 1 species